GGGUUGUGAGGUUAAGCGACUAAGCGUACACGGUGGAUGCCCUGGCAGUCAGAGGCGAUGAAGGACGUGCUAAUCUGCGAUAAGCGUCGGUGAGGUGAUAUGAACCGUUAUAACCGGCGAUUUCCGAAUGGGGAAACCCAGUGUGUUUCGACACACUAUCAUUAACUGAAUCCAUAGGUUAAUGAGGCGAACCGGGGGAACUGAAACAUCUAAGUACCCCGAGGAAAAGAAAUCAACCGAGAUUCCCCCAGUAGCGGCGAGCGAACGGGGAGGAGCCCAGAGCCUGAAUCAGUGUGUGUGUUAGUGGAAGCGUCUGGAAAGGCGYGCGAUACAGGGUGACAGCCCCGUACACAAAAAURCACAUAUUGUGAGCUCGAUGAGUAGGGCGGGACACGUGGUAUCCUGUCUGAAUAUGGGGGGACCAUCCUCCAAGGCUAAAUACUCCUGACUGACCGAUAGUGAACCAGUACCGUGAGGGAAAGGCGAAAAGAACCCCGGCGAGGGGAGUGAAAAAGAACCUGAAACCGUGUACGUACAAGCAGUGGGAGCCUCUUUAUGGGGUGACUGCGUACCUUUUGUAUAAUGGGUCAGCGACUUAUAUUCUGUAGCAAGGUUAACCGAAUAGGGGAGCCGAAGGGAAACCGAGUCUUAACUGGGCGUUAAGUUGCAGGGUAUAGACCCGAAACCCGGUGAUCUAGCCAUGGGCAGGUUGAAGGUUGGGUAACACUAACUGGAGGACCGAACCGACUAAUGUUGAAAAAUUAGCGGAUGACUUGUGGCUGGGGGUGAAAGGCCAAUCAAACCGGGAGAUAGCUGGUUCUCCCCGAAAGCUAUUUAGGUAGCGCCUCGUGAAUUCAUCUCCGGGGGUAGAGCACUGUUUCGGCAAGGGGGUCAUCCCGACUUACCAACCCGAUGCAAACUGCGAAUACCGGAGAAUGUUAUCACGGGAGACACACGGCGGGUGCUAACGUCCGUCGUGAAGAGGGAAACAACCCAGACCGCCAGCUAAGGUCCCAAAGUCAUGGUUAAGUGGGAAACGAUGUGGGAAGGCCCAGACAGCCAGGAUGUUGGCUUAGAAGCAGCCAUCAUUUAAAGAAAGCGUAAUAGCUCACUGGUCGAGUCGGCCUGCGCGGAAGAUGUAACGGGGCUAAACCAUGCACCGAAGCUGCGGCAGCGACACUAUGUGUUGUUGGGUAGGGGAGCGUUCUGUAAGCCUGUGAAGGUGGCCUGUGAGGGUUGCUGGAGGUAUCAGAAGUGCGAAUGCUGACAUAAGUAACGAUAAAGCGGGUGAAAAGCCCGCUCGCCGGAAGACCAAGGGUUCCUGUCCAACGUUAAUCGGGGCAGGGUGAGUCGACCCCUAAGGCGAGGCCGAAAGGCGUAGUCGAUGGGAAACAGGUUAAUAUUCCUGUACUUGGUGUUACUGCGAAGGGGGGACGGAGAAGGCUAUGUUGGCCGGGCGACGGUUGUCCCGGUUUAAGCGUGUAGGCUGGUUUUCCAGGCAAAUCCGGAAAACCAAGGCUGAGGCGUGAUGACGAGGCACUACGGUGCUGAAGCGACAAAUGCCCUGCUUCCAGGAAAAGCCUCUAAGCAUCAGGUAACAUCAAAUCGUACCCCAAACCGACACAGGUGGUCAGGUAGAGAAUACCAAGGCGCUUGAGAGAACUCGGGUGAAGGAACUAGGCAAAAUGGUGCCGUAACUUCGGGAGAAGGCACGCUGAUAUGUAGGUGAAGCGACUUGCUCGUGGAGCUGAAAUCAGUCGAAGAUACCAGCUGGCUGCAACUGUUUAUUAAAAACACAGCACUGUGCAAACACGAAAGUGGACGUAUACGGUGUGACGCCUGCCCGGUGCCGGAAGGUUAAUUGAUGGGGUUAGCGGUAACGCGAAGCUCUUGAUCGAAGCCCCGGUAAACGGCGGCCGUAACUAUAACGGUCCUAAGGUAGCGAAAUUCCUUGUCGGGUAAGUUCCGACCUGCACGAAUGGCGUAAUGAUGGCCAGGCUGUCUCCACCCGAGACUCAGUGAAAUUGAACUCGCUGUGAAGAUGCAGUGUACCCGCGGCAAGACGGAAAGACCCCGUGAACCUUUACUAUAGCUUGACACUGAACAUUGAGCCUUGAUGUGUAGGAUAGGUGGGAGGCUUUGAAGUGUGGACGCCAGUCUGCAUGGAGCCGACCUUGAAAUACCACCCUUUAAUGUUUGAUGUUCUAACGUUGGCCCGUAAUCCGGGUUGCGGACAGUGUCUGGUGGGUAGUUUGACUGGGGCGGUCUCCUCCUAAAGAGUAACGGAGGAGCACGAAGGUUGGCUAAUCCUGGUCGGACAUCAGGAGGUUAGUGCAAUGGCAUAAGCCAGCUUGACUGCGAGCGUGACGGCGCGAGCAGGUGCGAAAGCAGGUCAUAGUGAUCCGGUGGUUCUGAAUGGAAGGGCCAUCGCUCAACGGAUAAAAGGUACUCCGGGGAUAACAGGCUGAUACCGCCCAAGAGUUCAUAUCGACGGCGGUGUUUGGCACCUCGAUGUCGGCUCAUCACAUCCUGGGGCUGAAGUAGGUCCCAAGGGUAUGGCUGUUCGCCAUUUAAAGUGGUACGCGAGCUGGGUUUAGAACGUCGUGAGACAGUUCGGUCCCUAUCUGYCGUGGGCGCUGGAGAACUGAGGGGGGCUGCUCCUAGUACGAGAGGACCGGAGUGGACGCAUCACUGGUGUUCGGGUUGUCAUGCCAAUGGCACUGCCCGGUAGCUAAAUGCGGAAGAGAUAAGUGCUGAAAGCAUCUAAGCACGAAACUUGCCCCGAGAUGAGUUCUCCCUGACUCCUUGAGAGUCCUGAAGGAACGUUGAAGACGACGACGUUGAUAGGCCGGGUGUGUAAGCGCAGCGAUGCGUUGAGCUAACCGGUACUAAUGAACCGUGAGGCUUAACCUUACAACGCCGAAG
rnacentral:rRNA from 1 species